rnacentral:ncRNA from 1 species
CAACGGGAACGAAAUAUUUUUUAUAUCUCUAUACUUCCAAACUAUAGGAAAAAAAGUUUGGAAGUAAGAGAAUAUUUUCCUCGUAUUUAAAUUUUUAAAUUUAAAAGCUCUUUAUGUUAAUUAGUUAAUAUUUUCAAAUAGAAGAUAUCUUUUUUUUUGUUUAUUAUAUAAAAAUAGGUUUUUAAAGAAUUCUGGCGGAGCCUGUGCCAGCCGCCGCGGUUAUACAGGCAGAGUAAAAAAAUUUUUAUUAAAUUAAAUAUUAAUUUUGUUUUUUAAAAAAAUAUUUAGGUGAAAUUAUUAUUUUAUGUAAAUAAAUAAUAUUUAGAAAAUUUGUAAAAAAAAGUGGGAUUAGAUACCCUAUUAUUACAUAAUGGGAAAUUGGGAGUAUCUUAAAGGUUGAUAAAACUAAAUGAAAUGGCGGUAUUUUAAGCUUUUUAGAGGAAUUUAUUCUUUGAUUGAUAAAGCACAAAUAUCUUACUUAAUUUGGUUAAGACAGUUUGUAUAUCGCUAUCAUUUUAUAAUGUUGUUAGGCUAUUAUAUAGAUUGAUUAUUGUUAAGAAUGUUAGGUCAAAAUGCAGCGAAAAAUUAAGUUUGAAAUAAAUUACGUUGAUUAUUAUCCAGUUCUUUUGAAAAAAUUUUUAGGAUUUAAUAGUAAAUUUAAAUUAUAAUGUUAUAUUGAAUUAAGCUCUAAAAUAUGUACAUAUCGCCCGUCGCUCUCAUGUAUGAGAUAAGUCGUAACAAAGUAAAUGUACCGGAAGGUGCCUUUA